rnacentral:misc_RNA from 1 species
UUGAGGAGUAUUGGAAUUGG